rnacentral:Y_RNA from 1 species
GGCUGGUCUGAUGGUAGUAGGUUAUCAGAACUUAUUAACAUUAGUGUCACUAAAGUUGGUAUUCAACCCCCCACUGCUAAAUUUGACUGGCUUUAA